ACUUACAAUGUUGUAUCCACUGAUUGUCUUGUUAGAUUAACCCAAUAAAUUUCAUUCACUCCGCAUACUCAAUCCUAUAGACACCUUUUUAAUCCUUCAAUCACAGACGUAACUCGAUUUCACAAAACAGUCAAGAGUAAUCAAAUCCACUUCAUUAGAAAAAAUCUCGAUUCACCAUUACAACACUGACUUAAGCAAUGAUUGCCUCAGUCUUCCCAAAACUCUAUGAAGAAGAAAAAUCCAAUUCUCCGUCUUUUCUU
rnacentral:lncRNA from 1 species